UACGUAGGGGGCAAGCGUUGUCCGGAAUCAUUGGGCGUAAAGCGCGUGUAGGCGGUUACGUAAGUCUGCUGUGAAAGUCGGGGGCUCAACCCUCGGAUGCCGGUGGAUACUGUCGGGCUUGAGUACGGAAGAGGCGAGUGGAAUUCCUGGUGUAGCGGUGAAAUGCGCAGAGUAUCAAGGAGGAACACCAAUUGCGAAGGCAGCUCGCUGGGACGUUACUGACGCUGAGACGCGAAAGCGUGGGGAGCAAACAGG
rnacentral:rRNA from 1 species